rnacentral:rRNA from 1 species
UGAUACAGAGGUGGCGAGCGUUGUUCGGAUUUACUGGGCGUAAAGGAUGCGUAGGCGGUUUUGCGUGUCGGGUGUGAAAGCCCUGGGCUCAACCCAGGAAGUGCAUUCGAAACUGCAGGACUAGAGUAUGGGAGAGGAGAGCGGAAUUCCUGGUGUAGCGGUGAAAUGCGUAGAUAUCAGGAGGAACACCGGUGGCGAAGGCGGCUCUCUAGCAUAAUACUGACGCUGAGGCAUGAAAGCUGGGGGAGCAAACAGG